rnacentral:rRNA from 1 species
CGGGUGAGUAACACGUGGAUAACCUACCUAUAAGACUGGGAUAACUUCGGGAAACCGGAGCUAAUACCGGAUAAUAUUUUGAACCGCAUGAUUACAAAGUAAAAGACGGUCUUGCUGUCACUUAUAGAUGGAUCCGCGCUGCAUUAGCUAGUUGGUAAGGUAACGGCUUACCAAGGCAACGAUGCAUAGCCGACCUGAGAGGGUGAUCGGCCACACUGGAACUGAGACACGGUCCAG